CCUACUGGCGGCAGCAGUAGGGAAUAUUAGAAAUGGACGAAAGUCUGAUCUAGCGACACCGCGUGUGCGAUGAAGGCCUUCGGGUUGUAAAGCACUUUUUGGAAGGAAUAGGAAGGAAGGUACUUCCAGAAUAAGUCUCGGCUAACUACGUGCCAGCAGCCGCGGUAACACGUAGGAGGCAAACGUUAUCCGGAUUUACUGGGCGUAAAGCGCGUGUAGGUGGUUCUGUAAGUAGGGCGUGAAAGCUCCCGGCUCAACUGGGAGAGGCCGUUCUAAACUGCAGAACUAGAGGAUGGUAGAGGGAGGUGGAAUUUCAGGUGUAGCGGUGGAAUGCGCAGAUAUCUGAAGGAACACCAGUGGCGAAAGCGGCCUCCUGGACCAUUACUGACACUCAGACGCGAAAGCUAGGGUAGCAAACG
rnacentral:rRNA from 1 species